rnacentral:rRNA from 1 species
CACGUGUGCAACCAACCCCGUACCGGGAGAUAACCCGCGGAAACGUGGACUAACACCCCAUAACACCUUUCCCCCGCAUGGGGGGGAGUUUAAAACCCCGGUGGUACGGGACGGGCACGCGUGACAUUAGGUAGUUGGCGGGGUAACGGCCCACCAAGCCGACGAUGUCUAGGGGUUCUGAGAGGAAGGUCCCCCACACUGGAACUGAGACACGGUCCAGACUCCUACGGGAGGCAGCAGUGAGGAAUAUUGGUCAAUGGGCGAGAGCCUGAACCAGCCAAGUCGCGUGAGGGAAGAAUGGUCUAUGGCCUGUAAACCUCUUUUGUCAAGGAAGAAUAAGCGGCACGAGUGCCACCUUGCCAGUACUUGACGAAUAAGCAUCGGCUAACUCCGUGCCAGCAGCCGCGGUAAUACGGGGGAUGCGAGCGUUAUCCGGAUUUAUUGGGUUUAAAGGGCGCGUAGGCGGGACGGCAAGUCAGCGGUAAAAGACUGCAGCUAAACUGUAGCACGCCGUUGAAACUGUCGACCUGGAGACGAGACGAGGGAGGCGGAACAAGUGAAGUAGCGGUGAAAUGCAUAGAUAUCACUUGGAACCCCGAUAGCGAAGGCAGCUUCCCAGGCUCGAUCUGACGCUGAUGCGCGAGAGCGUGGGUAGCGAACAGGAUUAGGUACCCUGGUAGUCCACGCCGUAAACGAUGCUCACUGGAUCUUGGCGAUACACGGCCAGGGUUCAAGCGAAAGUAUUAAGUGAGCCACCUGGGGAGUACGUCGGCAACGAUGAAACUCAAAGGAAUUGACGGGGGCCCGCACAAGCGGAGGAACAUGUGGUUUAAUUCGAUGAUACGCGAGGAACCUUACCCGGGUUUAAAUGCAGGUUGCAUGAGGUGGAAACACCUCUUUCCCUCGGGGCUACCUGCAAGGUGCUGCAUGGUUGUCGUCAGCUCGUGCCGUGAGGUGUCGGGUUAAGUCCCAUAACGAGCGCAACCCCUAUCGCCAGUUGCCAUCGGUUCAAGCCGGGCACUCUGUCGAGACUGCCACCGUAAGGUGCGAGGAAGGCGGGGAUGACGUCAAAUCAGCACGGCCCUUACACCCGGGGCGACACACGUGUUACAAUGGCCGGUACAGAGGGCAGCCACGGGGCGACCCGGAGCGAAUCUCUAAAGCCGGUCGUAGUUCGGACUGGAGUCUGCAACCCGACUCCACGAAGUUGGAUUCGCUAGUAAUCGCGCAUCAG